rnacentral:rRNA from 1 species
GGAGGUGACAAAGAGCUCAUCGUAAAGGGUUACGUUGAUGCAAGCUUUGACACUGAUCCGGACGAUUCGAAAUCGCAAACCGGAUACGUAUUUACAUUAAACGGUGGAGCUGUAAGUUGGUGCAGUUCUAAACAAAGCGUCGUGGCGGGAUCUACAUGUGAAGCGGAGUACAUAGCUGCUUCGGAAGCAGCAAAUGAAGGAGUCUGGAUGAAGGAGUUCAUAUCCGAUCUAGGUGUCAUACCUAGUGCAUCGGGUCCAAUGAAAAUCUUUUGUGACAAUACUGGAGCAAUUUCCUUGGCGAAGGAAUCCAGAUUUCACAAGAGAACCAAGCACAUCAAGAGACGCUUCAAUUCCAUACGGGACUUGGUCCAGGUGGGAGACAUAGAGAUUUGCAAGAUACAUACGGAUCUGAAUGUAGCAGACCCGUUGACUAAGCCUCUUCCACGGGCAAAACACGAUCAGCACCAAGACUCCAUGGGUGUUAGAAUCCUUACUGUGUAA